rnacentral:rRNA from 1 species
GCAGUCGCACGUGAAAGUCCUUCGGGAUGAGUAAAGUGGCGCACGGGUGAGUAAUGCAUGGGAACGUACCUUUAGGAGGGGAAUAACCACGGGAAACUGUGGCUAAUACCCCAUAACGACGAGAGUCUAAAGCAGGCCUCUACUUGUAAGCUUGCACCUAUAGAGCGGCCCAUGUCCCAUUAGCUAGUUGAUAGGGUAAUGGCCUACCAAGGCGACGAUGGGUAGCUGGUCUGAGAGGAUGAUCAGCCACACUGGGACUGAGACACGGCCCAGACUCCUACGGGAGGCAGCAGUAGGGAAUUUUGCACAAUGGGCGCAAGCCUGAUGCAGCAACGCCGCGUGAGUGAAGAAGGCCUUUGGGUUGUAAAGCUCUUUCGGCUGGGAAGAAGGGUUUGCUUGCAAAUAGUCUGCAGAUCUGACGGUACCAGAAGAAGAAGCACCUGCUAACUUCGUGCCAGCAGCAGCGGUAAUACGAAGGGUGCAAGCGUUGUUCGGAAUUACUGGGCGUAAAGCGCGCGUAGGCGGGCUGGCAAGUCGAUUGUGAAAUACCUAGGCUUAACCUGGGAACUGCAGUCGAAACUGCCGGUCUUGAGUGCCUGAGAGGAUGGCGGAAUUCCCGGUGUAGUAGUGAAAUACGUAGAUAUCGGGAAGAACACCUGAGGCGAAGGCGGCUAUCUGGCGGUGCACUGACGCUGAGGCG